rnacentral:rRNA from 1 species
GAUGAACGCUAGCGGCAGGCCUAAUACAUGCAAGCUGAACGGUAAAUAUCUCAGCAAUGGGAUAUGAGAGUAGCGUAAGGGUGCGUAACACGUAUGCAAUCUGCCCUGUACAGGAGGAUAGCUCGGCGAAAGCCGGAUUAAUACUCCGUAAUAUUAUUGGGUGGCAUCACCUGAUAAUUAAAGUCGCAAGACGGUAUGGGAUGAGCAUGCGUCUGAUUAGCUAGUUGGUGGUGUAACGGACCACCAAGGCGAUGAUCAGUAGGGGAACUGAGAGGUUGAUCCCCCACACUGGCACUGAGAUACGGGCCAGACUCCUACGGGAGGCAGCAGUAGGGAAUAUUGGUCAAUGGAUGCAAGUCUGAACCAGCCAUGCCGCGUGCAGGAAGAAGGCCUUCUGGGUUGUAAACUGCUUUUGCCGGGGGAUAAAAAGUCCAUGCGUGGAUAAUUGAAGGUACCCGGUGAAUAAGCCACGGCUAACUACGUGCCAGCAGCCGCGGUAAUACGUAGGUGGCGAGCGUUGUCCGGAUUUAUUGGGUUUAAAGGGUGCGUAGGCGGCCUAUUAAGUCAGUUCUGAAAUAUCCCGGCUUAACCGGGAGGGUGGGAUUGAUACUGAUGGGCUUGAGUGGAAUCGAGGUAGGCGGAAUUGACGGUGUAGCGGUGAAAUGCUUAGAUAUCGUCAAGAACACCGAUAGUGUAGACAGCUUACUAGACUUCAACUGACGCUGAGGCACGAAAGUGUGGGGAUCAAACAGGAUUAGAUACCCUGGUAGU